rnacentral:rRNA from 1 species
AUUGAACGCUGGCGGCAGGCCUAACACAUGCAAGUCGAACGAGUGGCGGACGGGUGAGUAAUGUCUGGGAAACUGCCUGAUGGAGGGGGAUAACUCCUGAAAACGGUAGCUAAUACCCCAUACCAUCAGCUGUGCCCAGAUGGGAUUAGCUAGUUGGUGGGGUAACGGCUCACCAAGGCGACGAUCGCUAGCUGGUCUGAGAGGAUGAACAGCCACCAUGGAACUGAGAACAGGGCCAGAAUCCUACGGGAGGCAGCAGUGGGGAAGAUUGCACAAGGGGCGCAAGCCUGAUGCAGCCAUGCCGCGGGUAUGAAGAAGGCCUUUGGGUUGUAAAGUACUUUCAGCGGGGAGGCGUUACCCGCAGAAGAAGCACCGGCUAAAUUCGUGCCAGCAGCCGCGGUAAUUC